rnacentral:rRNA from 1 species
UACGGGAGGCAGCAGUGGGGAAUAUUGCACAAUGGGCGCAAGCCUGAUGCAGCCAUGCCGCGUGUAUGAAGAAGGCCUUCGGGUUGUAAAGUACUUUCAGUCGUGAGGAAGGUGUUAAGGUUAAUAACCUUAGCAAUUGACGUUAGCGACAGAAGAAGCACCGGCUAACUCCGUGCCAGCAGCCGCGGUAAUACGGAGGGUGCGAGCGUUAAUCGGAAUUACUGGGCGUAAAGGGCACGCAGGCGGUUAAUUAAGUUGGAUGUGAAAUCCCCGGGCUUAACCUGGGAAUGGCAUUCAAGCUGGUUAGCUAGAGUCUUGUAGAGGGGGUAGAAUUCCAUGUGUAGCGGUGAAAUGCGUAGAGAUGUGGAGGAAUACCGGUGGCGAAGGCGGCCCCUGGACAAAGACUGACGCUCAUGUGCGAAAGCGUGGGGAGCGAAACAGGGAUUUAGAUACC